CUUUAUUCCUUUUAAAUUAUUUUCUAAUUUUUCUUUAACUGAUUCUUUUCAUUUCAAAAGAUACUUGAUUUCAGGAAUGAUAAUAAGUAUUGUCAAAUGCCUUGAAAUGUGGAAUUCCCUGUACUGUUAGGAUGAUUUGCAGUGGCUUCCUUUCUUUGUUAGUAUUCUUGCAUUACCUAGCAUCUGCAGAAACUGUGGCUAGGCUGGCUGCUGCUGCUUGUCAAAGGCUUUGUCUGUAUCCCAGCAUUGUUCCUUAGAAGCACCUGAAGUUCACCGUGUCCUUGAAGUGUUUUUCUUCUGGAAGAUCUCUGUGUGGAUGGAAGUUUUACUUCAUCUUAUAAACUGUUGAGCCAGCAUCUGUACAGUCAGGACAAGAAAUCUCAAUGUCAUCUACAAUAGAAAAGAUAUUAUGAAGAACCAUGAGAUUGUAUUAGGAAAGUAUCAUGAAGCUAUAAAGAAAGGGAUAGCAGAGAGUACAGCACACCAACAAAGAGGGAACAGGUUCCAUACGUAUUUGAAUACAAGCUUGACUGGCUUUUACGUUCGUGGAUCCCUGAAAUUUAGCAAAGAUUUUUAUGCAUUGUUUACUAAACGAAAGCAGUAAAAUUCCAUGGUCAUCCUUCCACUUGUGUCUUUGGUAAAUAUGAAUUUUAGCUGGAACUGCCAGGACUUCAGUCAUAGAUCGGUGCUUAGCCCAAUUGUCAUCAGAGAGACAUCAUCCAGCAACUGAUGGGAACAGAUGCAGAGAUCCAUAGCCAAACACUAAGUGGAUGCAGUGGAACCUAGCAAAAGAGGGGGAAGAAGGAUUGUAGGACCAGAGUGGAUCAAGGACACCAUGAGAACACAGUCCACAGAACCAACUAAACAGGGCUCCUAGGGCCUCACAGAGACAAGCAGCAAUCAUGGAGACUGUAUGGGUCUGAACUAGGUCCUUUGCAUAUACCUUAUGGUUGUAUAGCUUGGUGUUCUUGUGGAACUCCUAACAUUGGGAGUACAGGGUGUCUAUGACUCUUUUGUCUGCACUUGGGACCCAUUUCCUCUUACUGGGUUGUUCAUCCAGGCUUGAUAUGAGAGUUUGCAUCUAGUCUUACUGUAAUUUGUUAUGCCGUGUUCAGUUGACAUCCCUGGGAGGUCUGUUCUCAUUUUUUGAAUGGAAAUGGAGGAGGGGGAAGAGGGGAGGUGGUAGGGAACUGGAAGGAGUAGAGGGAGGGAAAACUGCAGUCAGGAUAUAAUGUAUGAGAUAAUAAAAUAAAAAUGAAAAUUUCAGGUAAGUAAAUGGAACUGAGUGAGAUGACCCAGACCCAGAAAGACAAAUGUUACAUGUUUCUCUCAUCCAAAUGUUAACAUGUGGAUGUUAGUGUUGAUACUUCAGAUAUUUCAUUUGGAAUACUUAUAGGUCAGGAAAGUUGCAAGUAGCAAUGGGUGGGGGCAGUUCAAGAGGGAGGCAAUAGAAAGCAGUGGUAUAAAGCCUAAAAGGGGGUUAAUGAAACAGGAAAUAUUACAUUAGAGUGGGUGAUGGGAGUGUGGCAUAGAGGAGGGAAUGUGAGUAUGGAUAAAUAUAUAUGCUACAACUCACAAGUACAUGGAUUUUACUCAGAUAUAUGAAUUAUAUGAGUUGACUGCAGUUGCCCUAUAAUGACAUGACUAUGCUAAUGUCCAUAGUAGACACCACAAGCUGAGAAAUAAAAAGCCCAAUGUGAGGGAGGUUACUGCUUUUGCAGCUGUUAGCCAGUGGGGUCCCUGAAGCCCCCAAAUGUAACAAGCCAUUGUCAAUGCUUUUGGUUACCUUCCAGAACUUGACAGAAAGACCCUACUGCUGAGUCAUAAAUUGUGGAGCUAUUAGGCUUGUACUGACCUGGAAGUCUCAUGCCUACUUUCUAGCUUUCGUAGUUCUAGAAUGUGUUGUGUACACUAUCAGAGGACCAAAGUAUUCAUCAGUCUUACCCAGCUGUGAACCCUAUUAAUUCAAGAUUGACUGGCCUGUCAAGACAUGCCCACUCUACAAUAGUUGCCCAAGCAUCAUUGGAGUAACCAAGCACUUCCUGCUUGGAUUUAAGAUCCAAUCUGCAAGUUGAAACACAUACCUGACACCAUUGUUGUCUAUAAAUCUGUGUCUUGACAGGUCUUAGGCUUUAGGGGAGAACCACUCUUAUGCUGCUAAAUUGGUACAGUAUUAAACUGACUCCUAAUUAUAUUGAUAUAAUGACUUAUUAUAUCAAUAGAUUAAUAUAUCUCUCAGCUCUCACAAGCGAAGCCUUUAAUUGCAGAUUAUUGUGAUUACUACAGAGACCCACAAUUGGCCAAAGCACAUAGCACAAUGGAUUAAAGAGUGUUCAACCCUAAAUGGAACAUGUAUAUCACAUCCCCUCCUCCAAAAACUCAGAGGUCCUUUCAGAAGAGGGGGCAGAAAGACUGUAGGGCUAGUGUUGGAGAUGAAUACAAGGGAACAAUCUCCUCCAGGCAUAACAGGGCAUCUACACAUAUGAACUGUGACAGCAUCUAAAAGCAGUGUGUAAAGUCAAGCCAGACCCAAUCUCAGAAUCCAAGCAAGACCUAAAGGAAUUCUGUUUGAUAGAUCACUCAUGGGCUUAUGCAUAGCUAGCUUUCUUAUACUGACCAGGGUCUCCGACUGAGAGAAUGGUACUGCCUACAGUGGGUGGGGCCCUUCCACACCAAUUAAUAUAUUAGUCAGGGUUUCUAUUGCUGUGAAAAAAAAAAAACACCAUGACAAGAAGCAGCUUGGGGAGGAAAGGGUUUAUUUUAUUUUACAGUUUGCAGUCUAUCAUACAGUUAGGGCAGGAAUUUAAGGUAAAAACAGAGAAGCAGAAACUGAGGUGGAAGGCAUGGAAGAGUGCUGCUUGUGGCAUUGCUCCCAGUGGCUUGCUCGACCUGCUUUAGUAUAGGAAGCAGGUCCUCAAGCCCAUGGGUGUCACCACCCACAGUGAGCUGGGCCCACCUGCAUCAAUAAUCAAGCAAAUGCACCAGUUUUGCCCACAGGUCAAUCUAGUGGAGGAAUUUUAUAAAUUGAGGUUCCUUCUUACAAAAUGACAAUAGAAUGUGUCAAAUGGCCAUAAAAUUAGCCAGCACAAUUAAUGAUCAAGACCAUCUCCUGCAGAUAUGCCCACACGCCGAUCUGAUCAGGGAAAUCCCUCAAGUGAGGCUCCAUUCUCAGAUAUCUAGUCCAUGUUAAUGGGGAUGGUUUAAAGCUAACCAGUAUAGCACUGGUGAAGUACUGUUAAACACUGUUAAAUAAUAGUUCAUAUUAAGAGUAAGUCUUUAUUAAGCACACCCUUUCCUUUAAAUAAGGAAAGAUGAUUGGUGGAGGUUGAUACCGUCUUACUCAGUAAUGUAUAGCUGUCAAACCUUCCCUAGAAACCUAUCAAACCAUCUACCUUGAGCAGCGUAUCAUAACGCAAGCAGCUUGGUGCAAUAUCAUCAUGUGUGCAUUGGCAGUGAAAGUCACAACUGCUUGCUACCACAGCAUAAUGCUGACUUCUGAAGACAUUGUCUCAGCCACUAUUGUGAAACACACCUUAUGCCAGAUGUUUUCCAUCACAAGCGUUAAUGAACUUUGCCUCAUUUGAAGAAAUGAGUAAACACAAUGUCAUAUAUUUCCAAAUUAACAAUAAAGUGUGUUUUAGAAAAAGAAGAAUUAGAUCUCUUUAAAUGUAAACUGUGCAUGAUUAUGAAGCCAUUUCUACCCCUUCUCUAAGUGGGACAUAUUCCUUGGUUACCCAGGAAAAGGCUUGUGGUUAAUGCCAAUAUGGUUCUUCAUUUGGAGGAGGGACUUCUGAAUGGAUGCAAGAAGAGAUUCUCAUUUGCAUGAAGACCUGGGCUGUGACUGUUAUGAACAGUCUGACAUUAAAGUGAAAGUCUGCUGUGAUGGAAGUAAACAUGUUCCCCACACCCUCUUUCUGGCUUUGUAAGCAGGCCUGUCCUCUCAUUUGAAUGACACUGAAGCCACCACCACCACCCCCCCCCCCAUCUUGUCCCCUGGUGUUGUAACAAAAAGUAUCUCUUGAGUGGGUAUUUCUUGAUGACUUUUGAGCUGCACCGUUAGUAGAGUGUGCUGACAUGGUAACAUAAAGAGAGAACUCCAACAGUAGUGGUGACAGUCAUGAUGGUGACAGUCAUGAUUUUGACAGUCAUGAUGGUGGCAGCAACAGCAAGAGGAGCCACAGUGAUGAAAGGGCAGCAUACGAGCUUUCGAGAGCAGCGGGACAGAAGUGAUGAGGCCACCGAUGGCAAUGUCUGUGGAGAGCUGAAGAUGAGAAGCUGCAGAUCUGGUGGAUGGAAGAGUUCCAGAGCCUGAAAGGCUGAGUGUCUCCA